GACGAACGCUGUUGGCGUGCCUAACACAUGCAAGUCGAGCGAAGUGAGUACUACGGUACGAACUUAGCGGCGGACGGGUGAGUAACGCGUGGACAAUCUACCCUGUAGACUGGGAUAACACCUCGAAAGGGGUGCUAAUACCGGAUAAUGUCGAGAAGCGGCAUCGCUUUUCGAAGAAAGGAGAGAAUCCGCUAUAGGAGGAGUCCGCGUCCCAUUAGCUAGUUGGUGAGGGUAACGGCCCACCAAGGCGACGAUGGGUAGCCGGCCUGAGAGGGUGAACGGCCACACUGGGACUGAGACACGGUCCAGACUCCUACGGGGGCAGCAGUGGGGAAUAUUGUGCAAUGGGGGAAACCCUGACACAGCAACGCCGCGUGAGCGAAGAAGGCCUUCGGGUUGUAAAGCUCAAUAGUAUGGGAAGAUAAUGACGGUACCAUACGAAAGCCCCGGCUAACUACGUGCCAGCAGCCGCCGUAACAC
rnacentral:rRNA from 1 species